rnacentral:lncRNA from 1 species
UUUGCAAAUUUUGCCAUUGACAUCAGCACAUGUAAAACAUUUCUUUUCGAAAACUGUCACUGUCACAUUGCAAACGUCACCUUAUAAACCAUCAAAAGACAAGUUUGGCAGCUUAAAACGUGACAAAUUGCAAAUAUUCUUUGACAUUCAGCGAAAACAUGACAGUCAACAAAUAACUGUCAGAGUGUCGACAUAUCCUAACCAAACUUUUUUUUAUGUGUAAUUAUCCAUCAAUCCGGUUCUCUUACAGGAAAAACUGUUUUACCACAGCCUAUUUCAAAGGGUGUCUUGAGACGUUACAGCUGACCGACGAAAUGGAGCAGGUGAAGGACUGGAUUAAACAGAUACACGGGGCCCCGCCCGACGAAUAGGUCCAAAUGCUUCACAACUGAAUAUUUCACCGGUUGUGUCGAGUCCCUACUUAAGUCCGAUGAAAUGCCGAGCUACCGGAAAAUGAUUGAGUAUCUGGCGAAGUAACCAACCAACCAAUCAACCAACCAAUCCAACGUGGAGCCUAAACCCUUGUGUCCUAUUAUUCUAGUCCAAAAAUCACCAUUAGGCAAUUAAUGUAUUAAUGUAGGAUAAGUGUUUUGACAGAAUUCUGUGCAUCCCUUCCCUUGACUCUGUUCGGUUUAAUUAAUUAUUUAUUUAUUUAUUUAUACAUAAGCACAUUCGCAAAAUCUCUGUCUCAGAGAGGUUGAUUUUCAUUCUCAAAAUACUGCAUUUUGUUAAAACCAACACGCAGCAUCACGUCAUUUCUAGCAAAAGUAUUGCGUUCUACAUACAUACAUACAUAUUUAUAUAUAUAAAUAUCAGUUUCCUUAUUUAUUAUUACAUUCGAUUAGCUGUUGAACUGCCUACCAGGGCUGGACGGGAGGUAGUUCAACAAUUAAGGACCAUUUUCAUCGUACAACUGAUAAAUUUAAGGAUAAAUUAUUUAUUGUACUGUUGAGAUUAUUUUAUUAUCUAGGAGUUUAAUUUAAGCGAAGCAUUGCAAAAACCAUUCCAUACGAACCAACUCUGCUAGUUUAAUCGUCAGUACGCAGUGUUUUUUGCAAGCGCCGAAACUUUUUCUUUUUAAAUAGACAUUCCGUUAUCAGUAUUGUACAGAGGUUGUCACAUGGAACCAAACAAGAAUCGGUGCCUGGUCGUUGCUGCCAAUGGCAGACCCCCUAAGUGUGUUGAUUUCAUUCUUGUAUUAUCAUACUUACAGCAUACGUAAUCGAAAUUAUUGCAAAAUGCAACAAUAAAGCAUCAAUUAAAGACGAAA